GCGGGAUUGGUCUAAUUGGCAACGGCAUGAGGCUUAAAACUUCAGGUUUGUGGGUUCAAGUCCCACAUCCCGUACCA
rnacentral:tRNA from 2 species